rnacentral:lncRNA from 1 species
UAAAGCAGAAGCUAUGUGGUAAGACAAAAUUGCCCCCGGGGCACAUCUCCAAGUAGUAAAAGGGGAGGGUGGAGAAAUUCAGCUUUGCUUAAGGCUGCUGCGUCAAGAGUUCAAAUCCUGAAAUAUGGAUUUGGCCCUUGGGUAAGUGCAAGUGUACAAGUAGCCUUUCACCCUGUACCCUUGGAGGCAUAACCUGCGAUUUACCUCCCUCACGAUACUCCAGGGCAGGGGUGGUGGGAGACCCUUAAGGUUAGGGUUUAACCUUUUUUAUGUGGUAAGACAAAAUCGAGUCUUCUUACUACAAUAGAUAUUUGAAAACCAAUAAGUACUCACAAAAUCUGAAGUAGACGUUUUAAAACGGUUAAAGUCUUUACAAUUCUUUUGCAAGUAUUCCGUCAAUUAGGCACCCUGUACCCUUGGAGGCAUAACCUGCGAUGUUUCUUGUGCACCUCAUUUAGAUAAAAAGGCUGUGGGAGACCCUUAAGGUUAGGGUUUAACCUUUUUUAUGUGGUAAGACAAAAUCGAGUCUUCUUACUACAAUAGAUAUUUGAAAACCAAUAAGUACUCACAAAAUCUGAAGUAGACGUUUUAAAACGGUUAAAGUCUUUACAAUUCUUUUGCAAGUAUUC